rnacentral:rRNA from 1 species
UACGGAGGGUGCAAGCGUUAUCCGGAUUCACUGGGUUUAAAGGGAGCGUAGGUGGGCUGGUAAGUCAGUGGUGAAAUCCCCGAGCUUAACUUGGGAACUGCCAUUGAUACUAUUAGUCUUGAAUACUGUGGAGGUUAGCGGAAUAUGUCAUGUAGCGGUGAAAUGCUUAGAUAUGACAUAGAACACCAAUUGCGAAGGCAGCUGGCUACACAAAUAUUGACACUGAGGCUCGAAAGCGUGGGGAGCGAACAGG